rnacentral:rRNA from 1 species
CCUACGGGAGGCAGCAGUGGGGAAUAUUGCACAAUGGGGGAAACCCUGAUGCAGCGACGCCGCGUGAAGGAAGAAGUAUUUCGGUAUGUAAACUUCUAUCAGCAGGGAAGAAAAUGAAGGUACCUGACUAAGAAGCCCAGGCUAACGACGUGCCAGCAGCGGCGGUAAUACGUAGGGGGCAAGCGUUAUACGGAUUUACUGGGUGUAAAGGGGGCGUAGGCGGCGAGGCAAGUCAGAAGUGAAAGCCCGGGGCUCAACUCCGGUACUGCUUGUGAAACUGUGUUGCUAGAUUGCAGGAGAGGUAAGUGGAAUUCCUGGUGUAGCGGUGAAAUGCUUAGAUAUUAGGAGGAACACCAGUGGCGAAGGCGGCUUACUGGACUGUAAAUGACGCUGAGGCUCGAAAGUGUGGGGAGCAAACAGGAUUAGAUACCCCAGUAGUC